UAGCAUUGUCCUAAAUAAAAUGAUCUAACCGCCAGUUUGAAAGUUCACCACCCAGUUUCAAUUAGUUCACUGUAUAAUCUAAGAACUUUUUUCAAAGGCUGUUGUCUUAAAAGUGUUUGCUAGAUUGUUUUUGCUUGGUGAAUUAUUGCCCUGCGGGGAUUCCAAAUUGGUCCAGGCUCCUACAUAACAAAAAAUGCGGCCAGUGGGGGCAGGAUUUCUCGCCCCCCGCGGCAGCCGCUGAAAAGGGAGAGUUCAAAACCCUCCAGAAAGAAAGAACUUUUCCGCAAUGACCACAAAGCUGGACCGAGAGGUCCCAGCAGGAAAACAAAACAAAACAAAAAAUGUCGCCUCGCAUUCCACUGACUUUUUCGCAACCUGGUUGGCAAGCCUGAACUGAACUACCCUUCCCCGGCCGGCUUCGUCCCGACAACCUCCUAAUCUACUGGGAAGGGCUCUCUGCACCCGGGAGGAGCGCCUCGCUACCACCCCGAAGCGCUUCGAGGACGGAGAAGGGGCCUCCGUGGGGAAGCGGAGACCAGGCAGGCAGCUCUGCCGCGCACGGCUUCCUCUGAGAAGCAGAAGGAGUUUGAGCUUCCCUGAGCGGGUUUGGCCCUUACUCUCCAAAGCUUGCUGACAGAAGCGUAAAUCCUAGGCACUAGCAACCAAUGGAUUCAAAUGACAAGAAAGGAGAUUCCGACUUAACAUUAAGAAGAACUUUCUGACGGCAAGAGAUGCUCGGCAGAGGAACGGGCUCCUUCGGAAGGUGGUGGACUCUCCUUCGCUGGAGGAAGUACAACGCAGAUUUGUUGGGGGAACGGCAACAACUUCUUUGUCUUGCUCCUCACAGGGCCGUUGUGUGGAAAGUGAGUCAGGAGCAUGAUGAGCUGGGGGCUCAGGUGAACAUCUCAGAUCAACCACAAACACCUUCUGUGGCUUUGCGGGUAGUUUUCCCUUUGUACAGGUCUUGCCAGGAUCCAAUAGAUGAAAACCAGGCAAGAAACAAUCCUUAAAAUGUUACAGAUAUCCACAGUCCAGUUCAAAAUGUCUGGAGGAAAACAAAGAGAAGUCUUCCUAAAUUGCAGGUAGGAAAAGAGUGAGUGCAGGAAGGAAGAGAUAGGGAUUAAUGCAUUUUCUUUUUCCCGCCACCAGGUUUGCGGGUGUGACAUCAUAGAGUCCCCUCUAUGCGUGGUCCCCUCCAUGGUGCCAUUGCCUCUGUUAGUGACCGUCUAGCCAUCAUGUAUUUCUGAUUUUGGCUGCACACCCUCCCACACCGAUACCAUUGUUCUCUGGGAAGCUCCCACCCAAAAUGAUAAAACGCAAUUUUUAAAAAAUGAUAUAUUAAGAUAAUCCUGCAGCCUAUUUUUCAGUUCUGCUUGAGUGACCCGUACCUUUCAGGCUGUGGUCCCACAUGGGGGACCCUUAAGUACUGCAGGCCCACAUGGCUUGGAUCGUUGGGCACAAUAUAUGGGGCUGAGAGGGAAUAGAAACAGGGGAUCCAUCCUUGGGAAGGGACCACCAAGGUGUUACCUUCACUCCCUGCUAUGCUCCAGCAGCUGCAUGGUUAAAAAUGUUGGUCCGUAGAGCAAGACUUGCGGGUUCCUCCAAUCCCCUCAUUUAUUGAUUUACUUACUGCAUUUAUAUCCCACCUCCCCCUGCGCGCACUUGGCUCUGCCCCAUCUCAUUUAAUUCCCACAAAACCCUGUGGCGUUGGUUAGGCUGAGAGGCAGUAACUGGCCCAAAGUCACUCAGUGUUAAGGAUUUGCUUCCUAAAUGUCCAGCGUUGUUAUGUGUUUGGCUGUCAGAUCCCUGGGAAAUGGGUCUCUGCCUGCAAGAGGUGUCCCACUUGCCUCUACUUUUUAACCCUCUGCUUGUCAAUGUGCAAAUAAAACACUUGCUUGAAAA